AUUGAACGCUGGCGGCAGGCCUAACACAUGCAAGUCGAACGGUAACAGGAAGUAGCUUGCUACUUUGCUGACGAGUGGCGGACGGGUGAGUAAUGUCUGGGGAUCUGCCUGAUGGAGGGGGAUAACUACUGGAAACGGUAGCUAAUACCGCAUAAUGUCGCAAGACCAAAGCGGGGGACUUUCGGGCCUCGCACCAUCAGAUGAACCCAGAUGGGAUUAGCUAGUAGGUAGGGUAAUGGCUUACCUAGGCGACGAUCCCUAGCUGGUCUGAGAGGAUGACCAGCCACACUGGAACUGAGACACGGUCCAGACUCCUACGGGAGGCAGCAGUGGGGAAUAUUGCACAAUGGGCGCAAGCCUGAUGCAGCCAUGCCGCGUGUAUGAAGAAGGCCUUCGGGUUGUAAAGUACUUUCAGUCAGGAGGAAGGGUGUGAGAUUAAUACUUUCAUGCAUUGACGUUACUGACAGAAGAAGCACCGGCUAACUCCGUGCCAGCCGCCGCGGUAA
rnacentral:rRNA from 1 species